CUGAUCCACCUUAACGUUGUCAAAUCUCAACGAAACUUGGCGGGUGUCUUUAGGGGGUCAAGCGCUACCUCCGCAUACUUUUUAAGACCGAUCUAUUGCCUUUCAAAAACUUGCUUCGAAUCUGGGUUUAUUUCAAUAAUGGUUCAGUGGUCUGCAUGCAUUUUGGUGCCCACGGGCCUACGUUACGAUUGGCUUCCUCCUUAUUCGAAUUGCGGAUACAAGUGUCGAAAAAUAACACUCUUAUCUCUCUCUUUUCUCCCCUCUUUCCCUGUCUUUCUUCUUCUUUCUCUCUCUUUCUUCUCUCUUUCUCUCUCUCUCUCUCCCUUCCUCUUUCUUUUCUUCUCUCUCUCUCUCACGCCUAAUUGGGCCGACAGUUAAGCCACCGGCCUGCCUUCUCUUCUCCUUCUUCUUCUCUCUCUUUCUCUCUCUCCCUAAGCCUAAUCGAGCCGACAGUUAGCCCAGUGACCCACCUCCUUCUUAUUCUCUUUCUCUUUCUCUCUUCUCUCUCCUCUCUCUCUCUCUCUCACUUGGCCCACUCGGACUGACAGCUAGCCUACCGACCCACUUCCUUCUUCUCUUUCUCUCUCAUUCUCUCCCUUAAUCUCUCUUUCUCUCUCUCCUUAAGCCUAAUCAAGCCGCGGCUAACCUGCCGACCCACCUUCUUCUUCUCUUUCUUUUUCCUCCUCUCUUUAUCUUUUGUCUCCUCUCUCUCUUUUCUCCCCUCUUUCCCUCUCUUUCUUCUUCUUUCUCUCUUUCUUCUAUCUCUCUUGCUCUCCCUUCCUCUUUCUUUAUCUUCUCUCUCUGUCUCAUGGCCAAUCGAGUCGACGGCUAAGCCAUCGAUCUGCCUUCUUUUCUCCUUCUUCUUUCUCUCUCCUCAUCUAUCUUCUCUCUCCUUCUCUUCUUCUCUCAUCUCUCCUUCUCUUCCUCUCUCUUCUCUCCUCUUUCUCUCUUCUCUCUCCUUUCUCUCUCUCACUUCGCCCACUCGAACCAACGGCUCACUCGCCGGCCCACUUCUUUCUUGUUCUCUUUCUAUCUCAUUCGCUCUCUCGAUCUCAUUUGCUCUCUCUCCUUAAGACUAAUCGGGCCGACGGCUAGCCCACCUCCUUCUCUUUCUUUCUCCUCCUCUCUCCAUCGUCUCUCUCCUCUUUCUUUCUUCUCUCUCUUCUUUCUCUCUCUCCCUUUCUCAUUUGGUCCACUCAAAUCGGAAACCUAAGCCGCCAGUCCCCUCUCUUUUCUUUCUUCCUCCAUCCCUCUUUCUCUAUUUCCUUCUCUCUCUCAAUCUCUCUUUCUCGCUCUCCUUAAGCCCAAUCGGGCCGGUGGCUAGCCCACCUCCUUCUUCUCUUCCUCUCUCACUCUCUCCUUCUCUCUCUCUCUCUCUUUCUCUCUCUCCCUAAGCUUAACCAAGCUGACAGCUAGCCAGCUUGCCCACCUCCUUCUCUUUCUCUUUCUCUCUCCUCUCUCUUUUCUCUGUAUCUCCCUUUCUCAUUUGGCCCACUCGGACCGGCAGCUUCUCUUUUUUCCUCGCUCUCUCUCCCACUCUCCCUCUCUCGACCGAGGCCGUCGGCCCACCCCUCUUCUUCCCUCGCUCUCACUCUCUCCCUCUCUCGCAACUGAGCCGACAACUCCUCCCCAUCACCUCCCUUUCUUCUCGCUCUCUCUCUCUCACGACUGAGCUGGCGGCUAAGCCGCCGACUCCUCCCAUUGGCUUUCCUUUCCUCUCUCUCUUUCUCUCGCUUGAUCUCUCUCUCCUCUUCCCUCUCUCUUAUUCUCUUCUCUCUUUCUUAUUCUCUUGCUCUUCCUCUCGAUCUCUCUCUCUCUCCUCUCAGCUCCUCACUCUUGUUCUCUCUCUUCUCAAUUUUUCUCUCUCCUCUCUAUUUCUCUCGCUUUCUUUCUUAUCUUCUCUCUCUUCUUCUCGAUCUCUCUUGCUCUCACUCUCUCUUCCUCUUGGUCUGUCUCUUUCUCUCCCUUGCUUUCACUUUCUCUCUCUCUUUCUCCCUUUCUCUCUCAUCUUCUCUCUCUUCCAGUCGAUCUCUCUCUCUUGCUUUCCCUCUCUCUUCCUCUCGAUUUUUCUCUCUUUCUCCUUUUCUCCCCCUCUUCCUCUCAGUCUCUCUCUCUCGUGCUUACCUUCUCUCUAGUCUUCUUUCUCUUCUUCUCGGUCUCUCUCUUCCUCUCACUUUCUUCCUCUCGCCCUCUCUUUCUCAUUCUCUCUUUCUCUCCUUCCUUUUUUCUCUCACUCUACUUCAUUCCCCUUCCUCUUUUACUCUUUUUUAAAACCCUCUCCUCAUAUCUACUAUGAAAUUCCUCCUCCUUUUCUUCCUAACUUUCUAUUUUUGUCAAACCCCACACUAUCUCUUCUACUAUCAUCUCACCCACAUCAUUGUUAUAUUUAUCUAUCCAUUUAUUCAUUUAUUUGUUUACUUAUACGAAACUGUUUGACAUGGUGACACUGAAAGGCUGUCAAAUUGAAAAACAAUUUCGUAUCACCCCAUCUUUUUACAUAUAUAUCUCUCUGAUGGGAAGUCAGGGUCUUCUGAUCCACUUGUCUGGAAAACUUAUGUGUGUGUGUUCAUUGGCCACAGAGUGCAAGCAAAGGGGCUAAAGCCGAACCAGCCUCAGGCUAACGAGGGUUUUCGUCGUGAUCUAAGAGGGCGCCCUCAAACACCCGAGCGUAUCGCGAACCCACCGUGACGUUGGUCCCACCUCACACCCCAUAAUCAUUUCUCAUUAGUUGGUACUUGUCCGCACGUGCACCUCACACACUACGGUUCCCGAGAGGGGCAUCUCGAGCCGGACCCACAAAUCCGGGUCACCGCACGAUUAUCUGACCCCACGAGAUCAAUGCGCACACUCACAAACGUGCAACACGUGGGCCCCCCGCGGUUGUUUGAAAAAGGAUUUUAUCCCGCCGUCCACGCGAGGAAAAAAUCAAACCUUGACCACUAUUUUCUCGCACACAAAAUUAUGCUUGGCAUAGUAACUUCUAAAAGUAAUUGAGGUGUACUCCCCAAUUGUCUAAUUGGAGACAGUUCAACAACUUGCUUGUCUUCUUUUAACAUUGGUGUACAAAUUCUGAAUCGUCUCAAACACAUCUUCCAAUUUCAUCAGGUAAGCUCAUAUAUUCCUUAAAGCAUCAUCUAUAACGGUCACAAAGUAUGAAGUGCCAAGAAAAAAAAUUUCCCAUGUAUGGGACCACACAUUUAAAUGCACGAGAUCUAAAAUUUUUGUAUCAACCUUAAGAGUCCUUUUUGGCAAAAAAAGGUUUUAUCUUGUUGACCUACCAAAAAGUGGUCACAUGGGGACAGAUGUAUUCUUGAUACCUGGGAGGAUGUUCAUUCAUGUGGCCGAGUCACCUAUGCCACAUGUCUAAUGCAGGUUCUUUUGUGGUGGUAUUAACCUUGCAAUCAAAGUCUUGCAUCUGUGUUAUGUAGAUACACUUCUUGUCUUUGUCCAUGACAAGAUAUCCCUUUGUUGACUUCCAGUAUCCCUUGUACAACACUAAUGUUACACCCUUCAUCAUCUAAAUACACCCCAAGCUCCAAGUUGAGAUUUAGUUAGAGACCUGGUACUUGUUUGACAUUCGUGAGCACUAGCAUCUUCCCAAUUUGUCAUGAUAUAUACGCCUCCCUUUCUCACAAUGUUUGAGAAAUCAUUGUUCAUCAUAGAGCCAAAAUCUCCCACUCUGUAAGAAGAAAAAUAGUAUCUAUGUGGGUAACAUAAAAGGAUGCUUCAGUUUCUUCCACUCAAUCAGAGUUGUGUCAAGUUGAUGCAAUAUUAAUACAUCACAGUUUCCAACCAUGUUUACAUCUUCUUUGAUGGUCAUUGCAGAGGUCCAUUAUCCUUCUUGUGGUCUCUGUUGGAAUUUUGAUACUCGUUCUUUAUGCACCCAAUCUUGUCACAAUGAAAGCAUGUAAACCUUUCUCAAUUUCGAUCAGGCUUUAAUAUUAUAUCGACUAUGUUGGUCCCCACCCAUGGACAUUUCUCAACUUGUGACGAGCUUGGGAGGUAUUUUUGUCAGGAUUUUCUUCUCAUCUGCUACUUUACCAAGCUCCUAGUGACUUGACUCAUCAUAACUUGCACUUCCUGGGUGGAGUUACAUAGGGAGAUCACUAGCGUCUACCAUUAUCUGGUAGAGAACUGAGUAACAAUCAAGCCCUCAGCUCAUCAUCUAGGGCCAUUUUCAUCAAUGUGAGCUGGUUGAUGAUGCUUUGUAUCUCAUAUAAGUGCUGGAGACUCCAUUCUUGAACUUCAAAUUUGCCAAAUUAUGGAUCAAGAAUGCCUUACACCUUAUUGCUUUUCUCUCGCACAAAUCUUGUAGUCUGCUCCAUGGUGACUUACCUGAUGUCUCACUCGAUAGUUGGUGGAAUACAACAUCGUCCAACAUUGUCAGAUGGUCCCAAUUUCCUUUUAGUUCAUCUUCUUGCUCUCUUCCUCAAUCAUGUCCUCGGGUGUUUCUACCCCUUCAGUGGGCAUGUAAAAAUCCUUAUACUACAGAAGAUUUUCAUCUUCAAUUUCUAGAUGAUCAAGCUGAUCCCAUUAAAUAAAAUCAUACUACUCCUAGUACUGAGAUCCAUACGGUCUACACAAAGUUCAAAAUAGUUUCACUCAUAUGAAUUAUGCCUUCACCUACUCUAGAUACCGUCAGUGGACUUUCACUGACUCUAGAUACCAUCAGGGGACUUUCACCGGCCUUAGAUGUUGCAUGUGAAUUUCACUAGCUUUUAUGCUUCCCAGCUCUAGAUUUUGCUAGUGGACUUUCACCAGCUCAGGAUGCAGCCAAUGACAUUUCACAAGUAGCUAAGGACUAGAAACUGUCACAAGUGCUCCGUGUAUUGGCAUUGAGGUUUUUCCCUUGCUCGUCUCGACUGCUAGUUCUCACUUCACUGACGAGCGAUAUUUGGAUGACUGACAGUGUAUCAAAGUUAAGGGAAUCAAGCUUUAAUACCACUUUGAUGGGCUCACACCAUUCAAGCCCUCUCACAACAAUGCAUAUUUGCACAAUAGAGCCUUACCCUUCAUGUGCAUGAGAUUUGGAAGGCAUGCAGGAAAAGAAUGCACCAAAAUACAAGAUUUAAGGUGAUUCACCCUUUAGGGCUACAUUCAGGGGAGGAAGGCAUACAAUCUACUUAAUUAAUGGAGUUACAAGGAUUUGAUGGAACAAAUUUCUUCUUCUAAGAAUCUCUCUCUCUCUGGUGUCCUACUUCAAGAGGCUCUCAUUCCCUUUGAUUACAAAUCUCUCGCACGCUCUAAGAGCCUCUUUGAUUUUGUUAGGGUGUUUCUCUAUAGAUUCUCUACACAAAGCUCAAAAUAGUUUCAUUCAUAUAAAUUAUGCCUUCACCUACUCUUGAUGCCAUUAGUGGACUUCCACUUACUCUAGAUGUCAUCAGGGGACUUUCACCGGCAAUAGAUGUUGCCUGUGAACUUUCAUUGGCUUUGAUUUUGCCCAGCUCUAGAUUUCGCCAGUGGACUUUCACCAGCUCAGGAUGUUGCAAGUGGGUUUCAGCAACAAUCUCGAGUGCUAUGUGCAUUGGCGUUCUUACGAAUAAUGUCAUCCAGAGGUUUCUUCCCUGCUCAUCUUAUGUCUGCUAGUUCUCACUUCACUAACGAGCAAAAGUUGGAUGACUGAUAGUGUAUCAAAGUCAAGGGAAUCAACCUCUACUACCACUUUGAUGGGCUCAUACUAUUCAAGCCCUCUCACAACAAUGCAAAUUGGCACAAUGCAGCCUUACCCUUCAUGUGUAUGAGAUUUGGAAAGCCAGGAAAAGAAAGCACCUAAACAGAAUAUUUAACAUGAUUCACUCUUUAGGGCUACAUUAGGGGAGGAAGGCACAAAUUCUACUAAAACAAUGUUGUUACAAGCAUUUGAUCGAACAAAUUCCUUCUUCUAAUUGGCAAUCUCCCUCUCUUGGGUUUCCUACUUCUAAUAGGCUCGUCUUAUGACUGCUAGUUUUCUCUCUCUUCACUGAUGAGAAAUAGUUGGAUGAUUGACAGUGUAUCAAAGUCAAGGGAAUCAACCUCGAAUACCACUUUGAUGGCUCACACUAUUCAAGCCCUCUCACAACAAUGCAUAUUCACACAAUAGAGCAUUACCCUUCAUGCGUAUGAGAUUUGGAAAGCACGCAGGAAAAGAAAGCACCAAAACACAAGAUUUAAUGCGAUUAACCCUUUAGGGCUACAUUCAAGGGAGGAAGGCAUACAACAAGGAUUUGAUGGAACAAAUUCCUUCUUCUCAGAGGCAAUCUUUCUCUCUUGGGUUUCCUUACUUCAAAAGGCUCUCAUUCCAUUUGAUUAUAAAUCUCUCUCACUCUCUAAGAGGCUCUUUGAUUUCUGUUAGGGUUUCUCCCUAGAGAUUCUCUAUAAACCUCAAAAUAGUUUCACUCAUAUGAAUAAAGCCUUCACCAACUCUAGAUGUCGCCCAUGGACUUUCAUCGACUCUAGUUGCUGCCAGGGGACUUUCACAGGCACUAGAUGUCGCCUGUGAACUUUCGCUGGCUUUGAUGCUGCAUAGCUCUAGAUUUCACUAGUGGACUUUCAUCAGCUCAAGCUGCUGCCAGUGGACUUUCACUGGUAGCAUAAGAACCAUCAACAGUCCCAAGUGCUCCUUGUAUUGGUGUUCUUAAGUAUCUUGUCGUCUCAAUGUUUCUUCCUUGCUCGUCUUACGCCUGCUAGCUCUCAUUUCACUGAUGAGUAUCAAAGUCAAGGGAAUCAAACUCUAAUACCACUAGUAUUCGAGCCCUCUCAUAGCAAUGCAGAUUCACACAAUAGAGCCUUAUUCUUCAUGUAUAUAAGAUGCUCGUCUUACGCCUGCUAGCUCUCAUUUCACUGAUGAGUAUCAAAGUCAAGGGAAUCAAACUCUAAUACCACUAGUAUUCGAUCCCUCUCAUAGAGAUGCAGAUUCACACAAUAGACGCUUAUUUUUCAUGUAUAUAAGAUUUGGAAAAUAUGCAGCACCAAAACACAAGAUUUAACGUGAUUCCUCCUUUUCCUCCUUUAGGGCCACAUUCAGGGGAGCAAGGUACAUAAUCCACUAAAACAAUGGCGGUACAAGGAUUCGAUAUAACAAAUUCCUUCUUCUAAGGGGCAAUCUCUCUCUCUUGGGUUUCCUACUUCAACAGGCUCUCCUUCCUUUGAUUACAAAUCUCUCGCACUCUCUAAGAGGCUCUUUGACUUCUUUUAGGGUUUCUCUCUAGAGAUUCUCUGCUCUUUAGGGCUUUACUCUCUUCAAGUCUUCAUCUUCUCGCUUAGGUUUCUCUCCCUCGAAUGCCUCCAAAUGAUAUCAUAACAG
rnacentral:lncRNA from 1 species